GCCACUCCUACAAACGUCUACGACCGCACCUACAUAGUUUUGCAUGUUUACAAUUCUAAUUUUGAACAGCCAAUCAGGUUAUUGGUAAUUGGCUGUUUAAAAUUAUAAUUGUAAACAUGCGAAAAUAUGUAGGCGCGAUCGUAGACGUUUGUGGGAGUGGU